AGCGAACGUUUGCGGCGGGCCUAACACAUGCAAGUCGAACGCACUAGCAAUAGUGAGUGGCGCACGGGUGCGUAACACGUGGGUAAUCAACCCUUCAGCUUGGGAUAACGACUUGAAAGGGUCGCUAAUACCGGAUACGGCGCGGGAGGCUUCGGCUUCUCACGAGAAAGCCUCGCAAGGGGCACUGAAGGACGAGCCUGCGGCCCAUCAGCUAGUUGGUGAGGUAAGAGCUCACCAAGGCGAAGACGGGUAGCUGGUCUGAGAGGAUGAUCAGCCACACUGGAACUGAGACACGGUCCAGACUCCUACGGGAGGCAGCAGUGGGGAAUAUUGCGCAAUGGGCGAAAGCCUGACGCAGCCACGCCGCGUGAGCGAUGAAGGCCUUCGGGUCGUAAAGCUCUGUGGGGAGAGACGAAGAAAGCCCGUGAAGAGCGGGCCGUUGACGGUAUCUCCUUAGCAAGCACCGGCUAACUCCGUGCCAGCAGCCGCGGUAA
rnacentral:rRNA from 1 species